CGCAUCUCGUCAUUUCGCAAGAAUGGAUAUCAUUACAAGUACAUGUACUGAAAAUAUGAGUAUAUGGAAUUGGCUUACACUCGCCACAAGCUACAUCAGACUCACAUCAGUACAAUACAUAAACAUCAUGAAGAAGAGCAGGCUCCGACUACGGACGAAAAACAAACGACAAAAUAACGACGUCCAUCCUUGCUAUCCCAGGCUACCGGUCUGGAACCCAUCCUAGAUCGACGAAGAAGAAGAAGAAGAAACUCCAAAUGAACAAUCAUCGUGCUCACAUCUCAAAAUCACUUUACCUGUACCUACAACUGGUGUUGUAGUAAUCUGUGAGCCAUAGGGGACUCAACUAUCUCAUUUCCAAAGGUAUAAAGACUAGUAAAGCUUAAUCGGUGAGCUAUGUUAAGUGGUGAGGCUGCAGCAAGCGACUAAGCAUUUAUUUAGUGGCUAACUUACGAGUACAAGAAUAAAGAGGUUGGAAGAUCUACGCACAGCGGAAGUGAACUACUGAUGAUCAAAUGAAUGACCCUGAACACCUACUUAUGUCAAACAUAACCCCACCAUGUCCUCGAUAGGAGAAGGAGCUCACGAAAGAGACAAUCAUGGUUACACACUCAGUUGACAUAUUUUAAUUAAGUUAACUUCAAGUUAUCUAGAUCCGGAUGUUAAACAAAGCUUCCACGUUGCCACGUAACUGCAGGCACGACUUUCCGAAAGAUUUAACCCUGUAGGGGUGCUCCAACUACUCCAUCACAAACUACCACACGCUCCGACGAAAUGACCUCGAUCAGGGAAACCCGUGAUUUCCUCGAUUCCAUUGGAAAACCUCAACCUCGAGUUAGCUCGAAGCAUCCUUGGAAUCCCUCGCACAAGAUGUUCGAUAAAGGUAAAACAAUUCCAGCAAGGCCGCCCGGCGUGUCGACGAACCUGAUAGGAGCCGCUAUCUCGUUCUCAGGACACGACGGAUAAGCACAGCGUACGGUGGCCUGAUAGACAUCAGCCGAGUUGCCCCGGGUUGGCUCCGCAAACGGCUCUGUUUUGGACCAGCACCAUUAGCACUGGCCCUCCAUGUAUUAUGUUGAAUUAUUCCUCGGGUAGCGCUAACUCCCUAUGUUUUUCAGUAUUAACAAAGUUAUUAUGUUGGGAAAAUAUAGUACCAAUGUUGUGCCUUGCCAGACGAGCUUUAUCCUAAAACGAGAAUCUAGGGGGUCCCCAUAAAAGGCCCAAGCAUGUUAGGAACGCUCAUUUAUGGAACAUAACACCAGUAGCCGAAACUAAGGGGGCAAAGGUGGAACAAAACACCAUGGUAGAAAGGCCGAGCCUUCCACCUUUUACCAAGUAUAUAUGUGCAUUAAAUUAAAUAGCAAUUACUAUGGUGAUAUAACAAGGAACCCCUGUUAUCACAUGGAAGCAACUGCACCUGCAACUAGCAACGCUAACACAUGGUUAAGCAAGCGGUAACAUAGCCAAUCAGUGGUUUGCUAGGUUGUGAACAUGUUGAAGGUUUUCAUGUCAAUGUUGGGAGGCUGAUAUUUAACAGGUGGUAGGCAGCGAGACAUAAAGAUAGAAACUAUAAAACUAGCAUGGCAAUGAUAGUAAUGUUAUCUAGGGAAAUGUUCAUCUUGCCUGAGAUCCCACUAGGCAGAAGAAUGACUCCGUGAAGCAGACGAACUAAUGCAGUCGAACGGAUCCUCACUUUCCGACACGCUUGCGGAACUCUAGCGAGACGACGCAAACCGGAAACAAGAAUCAACACACGAUAUUCAUCAUACGAUGCACAACACAUGUGAUGCAUGAACGGUAUCAAUUAUGCACGUAUGACAUGGCAAUUCAGUCAAUCAAACACUACACAUUUAGUGAAGCUCAAUAUGCAACGAGUUGCAUAUUGACGAAACUCCACAUACGAAUUAUUUAGUUCACUCUUGUUUAGGUACACGGCAAUAUUAUAAGUUGUUAUACAUGGCAAGAGAUGUAGCGUAAUUAAACUACCUACCUAGGCAUUUUAAAUGAGGCCGGAAACGACAUAUAGCAUCUCCGGGAUGACCCCGUACAUUAAUUUAUAAUUCUGUCCAGAUCUGAACUAACACGUUUUAAUAUUUUUUAAACAGCAAAAUAAAGCGGUUCACGUGAAAAUACACGUCGUUCUAGUCCAUUUACAUAUAUGAACAUCUCCAAAGGAACUACGGUUCAAAACAUAUGAUCACCGCAAGAUAUGAUGGCAUGAAUGCAAUAUGUAUGCAAUGACAGUCAUAACCAUCCCAAAACAUACAAAUAACAAGAUAAUAUGAACCUACACAAGAUUCUAAACAAGUUUCAUAUAGGACACGAUCAAAACGGAGCAUCGGUUCAACAAAUACAAGCUACACAAGAAAUAGUCAUAAUCUGCCAAAAACAGCAACAUGGCAUUUUCUACACCCAAAACAACAAGCUACAUAAAUCUAAAAUGCUCAAACAAGGCAUGAGACAGUAGUAGUCAAGAUGCACUUCAACACCCUACUAAAAAUAACUAGCAUGGAAUCAUGGAUCACUAGGAAAAGAACUCACAAAAUGGCAUCUCACACACAGUUUCAGACUAGGAGAAAAUCACACUUUGACAGUGCAGUUUUCGAUCUGAAGGCAUAUUGACAACAACAAAACUAUAUGCUACAUGGCAUACAAUGGCAUGAAAAUUUACAUCAUGCUAGAGAUUCUUAAGGACUACAAAUAACUACAUUGCACCAACCUCAAAGGAGUUGUAGAUCACUAGGAAAACUCAUGGCAACACAACAACAAAAUACAAUAGAUUUCAGACUUAGAAAUAUUUCAGGAUCUCCAAAUCAGCACUAUUUUCUAGCAUGUUGACAACAAGAAAACAACACCUAAACAUGGAUUUCUAUUGCAACCAAAAUUACCAGGGGCUAGCAUGCAUAUCCAAGGGCAUAUCUCUAGUUCACAACUCAUUCAUAUCAUGAACGGAUUAAAUCCCACAAAAUAAACAAAAGGUCAACAUGGAAAAAUAUCAUGCACACAAACUUACUCAGAAGGCAAAACUAAAUGAAGAGUUAAAUUCUAUGAAUUUUUCUACCGCCAAAACAUAUAUAAUAUGUGGGGUUCGAAAAAUAAACUAGCGCCACACAUACAUGCGAGAGUAUGUCCUAAACACAACAUAGCAAACUAGCGAGGGAACGUAUAUGCAAAAAUGCAAACAACUAUUAUAAAAUACACGGCAAAUCCUUACAAACAACAUGAACAUUUUAUCUACGGGAUUUGAACAAUCCGGACAUGCACAAAAAAUCUAUGGAAUAUAAAACAUAUUAGGACAACAUGCAAAACUAGGCAAACAGCGGGUCAAACCACUCCAAACAUGCAUGCAAGAUGCAAAAUAUUAUUCUUCGCGAAAAACUACACGAGUUACAUACAUAAUACGUUGCGAUCGGAUGCACGGUUUAAUAUUUACGGGCGUUUGAAGUAUCUAAUAUCCCUGAAAUUAAUAAAUCCGAAAAAUCUUUCAAAAAUACUAUCGAACCUUAUUGCCUAACGGGCCUAAACAAAGCAUGCGCUAAUCAACUAAGCUGCGCCGGGGUGAUGGAUAGGGGACUCGGGGUUCUCACCUUAGCGGGCCAUGGCCCAAGGGGGGGGGGGGGGGGGGGUCUGGGCCGGGGCGGCUGCGGGGCCCAAGCGGGGAGGAGCUGCGGUCGUCUCCCACGCGAGGCGAGGUCGCGACUACGGCCAGGAGGCCGAAAGCGGCAUGCUCCGGCGAGAGGCGUCUGGUGCAGGGAACAGCGGUGGGGACGACGGAUCCGGGUGCAGCAAGGCCGGAUUCGACCAUUUCUUGCAGCUACAGGCCACGAGGUGAUGACGGCGACUCUGCUCCAUGCGGGGCGAGAUCCGGCAGCUCGUCGGAUCCGGUGUGGAGGCGCAUGGCGGCGGGGCACGGUGGCGUGAUCCGGCGGCGGGCACUGGUUCCCGGCGAGGAAGGUAUCUUACGGCGAGGCAGCCAUGGGAGGCUCGCCUGGGGAGAUCGGGACCCUCCCGGUCCAGAUCUGAGCGGCGGCGCUGCGUUUCGGGGCAGGGGUAGGCGGCUCGACGCGAUGGGCUCGGCGGGCCUCUCGCAGGCUCACGGGUCCGGCGGCGACACUGUGGAGGUGGGAGCGGCUGUGGCUGUCGGGUGGCGCGGAUCCCGAGGUAGGGAUAGGGAUAGGCACAAAAUUGACAUGGGAGGGCCUAUUUAUUGAUAAAACGGGCUAGGGUUAGCAGAAUUUCGCCUCGGUUUCUACCGCGCGAUCUAAAUCGGACGGUCUCGAACGCGGGGACCGGCUAAGUGGGUGUAUAGAGUAGGCUAGCCGGAGAAGAGAGGGAAAACAGGCACCCGACAACGUGAUUUAAAAAUACCGAAAAACGUCCGACGAAUAACCAAAGACGGUGCCGCUACGGUCGACCGUUCGGGUACCAGACGGACUCCGAUUGCGACGAAAUUUGGCAGGCGGCCUACCUAUAUAGAAAUAGGACCGCACGCCAAGUUUCAACUCAAUCCAAGAAUACUUUACACAUUUUAAAAACAAGAUUUAAACGAUGUCGCAGGCGCGUGCGAGUGUGGUUGGUCUCAAAACGGUCAAUGACGUACACGGAGAGAACCGGCAACUGAUAACAGAUGCAGGUUUUGAAAACUGGCGGCAACGGAGUGCCAAUGCAAUGGGGAUGAUGCGCAUGAUGUGAUGAUGAUGAGGCAAAUAAAAAUAAUCACACGACGAAAACGGAAAAGAGGGGAAUCUUCUGGAGAGUCGGUCUCGGGCUGUCACAACUCUCUUACACUACAAGAGGAUCUCGACCCGAGAUCCAAGAAUGAAAGGGGAAGAGGAAGAGAAAGAACGAGAGGUAAAACUUAAUUGCUUCUUUGACAAACGAGUGAAACCAAUGAUCCUUGAAGGUUACAAAGAGAUGAAGAAUGAUAUGAGGAGCAACCAAGAAUUCAAACAAAAUUUUGGCAGCACUUCGACAGGAAAAGAGGACAAAAUUAGAUAAGAUAGAAGAACUAGACAAGAUUUACAACAAACAACUAAAGUGGUAAGCAAGGGAACAAUAUGAUCUUGAAAAUACAAAAUGAUAGAUUGAAGAGAGCAACAUCACAAAGCCUCCGUUACAAGAAUAGAACUAGAUCUUGGCAAGAAGGAACGAAGAACAAAAUGACAACUACUACCACAAGAAUCUUGAAUAACACCUUGGGAAAGAAGAGAUCUUGAGCCGCCUAAUAGACAACUUGAACAAGGCACUAGAAUAAUAAAGAUACGAACAAAGAGACAACAAUUGAGAAUAAUUUGAGAACGAAAGGUGAAAGCUGAGAACGAAGAAAUCUUCUGAAAUGAUGGCCUUCGGAGGAUCAAGAAUGAAAACAACUCAGAAAAGCACCGAAUAGCAAGAAGAGAUUCUCAUGAUUGGGAACAAUUCAAGAUGAUGCCACAAAGCUGAAAUGAUGAAUCUUCAAGAGAAUGGACCAAGAUUUGAGAGAAACACUCCUUCAGUCUUCCAAACUGAAAAUGAUGAGGAGAACACCACAAAGAAUAACUAAGACACUCCGGAAUAAAGAAUAUGCAAGGUUGAGCCAAAUAUGAGAAUUAAUUCAAAUUGAUCGUGAAGAAGGAAUAUAACUGAUGAAAUUCAUACUUACGUCAUAGUUGAGAAGAAUUAGAGAGCACCGGAAAGAUUACAAGAGUCAGAUAAGAUCCUUGGAAAAGCCUGUGGGUUAUCGGCCCACUCAAAGAAAGCACCAUUGAAAAUAUUGCUCAGAAAGAGAGAUAUUGCACCGGUACAAAUGAAAACUAGAUGAGGUGAGGCCCUUGAAAUAAUUGAAAGGAUUUAAAACAAGAACUUCUGAGAUAUCUUCAACACUCGGAUAGAAAAGAGAGGAAUGAAUAAACAAGAUAGGCUGAUAAGAAUUUCCAACAUAGGAAAGAAUUUAAAAGAUGAAAAAGGAUAUGAUGAACACGGAUAACUGAAUUGAAUUCACCGAAAAAGAUAACAAGAUUGAAGAAAUGAUGAACUAGAAACUCGUGAGAAUCUUCACAAAGAAUCACCGGAUAAGAGAGAAAAUAAAAAGAUAACCGAAGCAACAAUUAAAAGAAGACACUUGGAUGAUAAUCUAAUCACUGAAGAAAAGGGUGGGAGGGAGGGGAAAAACAAAGACAACUUGGAACAGAUGAGAUGUACUCCGGAAGGAAAUGAGAGAUUGAUCUUGCAAAUAUUGAAGAAGAUUGAAUAACUUGAGGAGGAGCGCACCGGUUGAAAAAUAAUAGACAUAACAACUCCGGUUGACAAGAAUUGAUAAGACAAUUUGAUUUGAGCAAAAGAAUUAGCAUUCCAUAAAAAUAUGAGAAUACCUCUUGGAAAAGAUAUGAAAUCACCAUUUGACAUCGAAGGAACUCGAAUUACCAUAUUCUAACAAAACAAAGGAUGCGGCUUGCAAAUUAGCCAAAACAAACUCAUGAGAGAGAUUCCGCUCGAUAUUUUCGUGGAUGAGGCUCGCACGGGCUCUAUCCUACAGUAGCCAUCAUGUGCAAGACAGUGCACACGACAUACGAAGCGUCCUCGAGUCGUACCAAGCUACAAGGCUCUUUAAGACACAACGAGAACCACUGUAAAACGACCGUGAACAAACGUAUCCACUAGAUGUCGAACCCCAACCUAACAUCAUGCAUUUGUUGGAAGAUUGUCCUAUAAGUAAGUACUUCAAUUCCCACCUAAGGACUCCCGAAAUUUCUGGUCAUGCAAUCUGGCCCACGGAUACAAGAAGUAAUAUCACUCAACUCCUAUACUAACCCGUCCAGUGUAUCCCAUCCGUCAACACAUAACCAGAAUCUCAGAAACUUGUCUAUCUCAGAUCCUCGUAAGCACAACAAUACAAAGUAUGGCGAUACAUCCGGAUCUAUCUCACCAGUAAUGGGGAAGCCGGACUACUCUCGCCACUACUAGUAUUGAAGCAAUUUCAAUCAUCCUUCGUCCUGAGAUACUAAGAAAUCUGAAUGAUAAUGAUGUGCUCGAGAAUCCCCUGGAGUUCAACUCCCCGAAAGAAAUCAAGUCAGGCAGGAGGCACCAAGAGACAACUCCGUCACAUAGACAUCGUAUAGAUUCCAAAAAUAUUUGCGUGAUCCUAGAAUUUUUUUGAGUGAGAAGAGGAGCAGAAUUUAAAUUAUUACGUCAAGAUUCCUCACCAGAGCAUAGAAGAGGAGAAAAAGGAAUCCUACUCUCUGAUAUAUAACUAGACUCAAAGUAGUUUUUCACUAGAGUCGACUCUGCCAGGUUUGAUCAAUCAAGGGGGCUCCUAGGUCGCUACUACUCUAAUACCAACUUGUAACGCCCAAUAUGCGACUCUAUCCUUAUUUUGGCACGACGGCCUCAACAGGGAUAGAAGCGCAUCUCGUCGUUUUGCAUGAAUGGAUAUCAUUACAAGUACAUGUACUGAAAAUAUGAGUAUAUGGAAUUGGCUUACACUCGCCACAAGCUACAUCAGAGUCACAUUAGUACAAUACAUAAACAUCAUGAAGAAGAGCAGGGUCCGACUACGGACGAAAAACAAAUGACAAAAUAACGACGUCUAUCCUUGCUAUCCCAGGCUGCAAGCCUGAAACCCAUCCUAGAUCGACGAAGAAGAAGGAGAAGAAACUCCAAAUGAACAAUCAUCGCGCUCACGUCUUAAAAUCACUUUACCUGUACCUACAACUGGUGUUGUAGUAAUCUGUGAGCCAUAGGGGACUCA
rnacentral:lncRNA from 1 species